rnacentral:rRNA from 1 species
GAUGAACGCUGGCGGCGUGCCUAAUACAUGCCAGUAGAACGCUGAAGGAAGGAGCUUGCUCUUUCCGGAUGAGUUGCGAACGGGUGAGUAACGCGUAGGUAACCUGCCUGGUAGCGGGGGAUAACUAUUGGAAACGAUAGCUAAUACCGCAUAACAGUAGAUGUUGCAUGAUUUCUACUUAAAAGGUGCAAUUGCACCACUACCAGAUGGACCUGCGUUGUAUUAGCUAGUUGGUGAGGUAACGGCUCACCAAGGCGACGAUACAUAGCCGACCUGAGAGGGUGAUCGGCCACACUGGGACUGAGACACGGCCCAGACUCCUACGGGAGGCAGCAGUAGGGAAUCUUCGGCAAUGGACGGAAGUCUGACCGAGCAACGCCGCGUGAGUGAAGAAGGGUUUCGGAUCGUAAAGCUCUGUUGUAAGAGAAGAACGAGUGUGAGAGUGGAAAGUUCACACUGUGACGGUAUCUUACCAGAAAGGGACGGCUAACUACGUG